UACGAAGGGUGCAAGCGUUAAUCGGAAUUACUGGGCGUAAAGGGUGCGUAGGCGGUUGUUUAAGUCUGUCGUGAAAUCCCCGGGCUCAACCUGGGAAUGGCGAUGGAAACUGGGCAGCUAGAGUGUGUCAGAGGAUGGUGGAAUUCCCGGUGUAGCGGUGAAAUGCGUAGAGAUCGGGAGGAACAUCAGCGGCGAAAGCACUCUGCUGGGCCGACACUGACACUGAGAGACGAAAGCUAGGGGAGCAAAUGGG
rnacentral:rRNA from 1 species